UUAGUGGUGUGAUGACAGCACAAAGUACACAGACUCUGUGAAGGGCCGGUUCACCACCUCCAGAGACAAUGCCAAGAACAUGCUUUAUCUGCAAAUGAACAACCUGAAAGACGAGGACACAGCUGUAUAUUUCUGUGCAAAAG